GUGCUUGCUUCAGCAGCACAUAUACCAGCGUUAUAAUGAUAGAGAAGAUUAACAUGGUCCCUGUGCAAGGACAACACACAAACUCAAAUAUUCCAUAUUUUU
ensembl:snRNA U6 U6 spliceosomal RNA